GUGAUCGUCGGAGACGAUGCAUAAAAUUGGAACAACACAGAGAAAGUUAGCAUGGCCCCCUGUGCAAAGACGACUUGCAAAAUUGUGAAACGUUUAAUAUUUAG